AAGUUAUUAACAGUGUUCAUCGCCUCAGUUGUAAACAUUAAGUCGACCAAAAUGUGUUAAUUAAAAUACAAACUUGGAUGAUUUAAUACUUCACUACGUCACUUUUACGGCUCCAAUUGGUUGUUACUGUGGUGUUAAGACAACUACCAUAUUGCUGCCUCGCUGAUCGUGGUUAAUGAAGUUCCUCGUGUCAUUCGUCGAGGACGGUGACGUGAAGAUGUAAGAUAUGGGCCACAAGACGAAGGUUUGUUUUGGUUAACAGGUCUCCUGCUGCACCACAUUGGAAACCUUCUGCUAUAACAUAAGGUACAGUACAGUGUAUAUCUUUGUGGUUUUAGU